rnacentral:tRNA from 1 species
GGUGCCAUAGCUCAGUUGGUAGAGCAAAGGACUGAAAAUCCUUGUGUCCCCGGUUCGAUUCCUGGUGGCACCACUC